rnacentral:rRNA from 1 species
UCGGAAUUACUGGGCGUAAAGCGUGCGCAGGCGGUUUUGUAAGUUUGUCGUGAAAUCCCCGGGCUCAACCUGGGAAUGGCGAUGAAGACUGCAAGGCUAGAAUCUGGCAGAGGGGGGUAGAAUUCCACGUGUAGCAGUGAAAUGCGUAGUGAUGUGGAGGAACACCGAUGGCGAAGGCAGCCCCCUGGGUCAAGAUUGACGCUCAUGCACGAAAGCGUGGGGAGCAAACAGG